rnacentral:lncRNA from 1 species
GUGUUGUAAACCAUAUGGCAGCAGGUAGCCUAGCGGUAAGAGUGUUGUAACCCAUAUGGCAGCAGGUAGCCUAGCAGUAAGAGUGUUGUAACCCAUAUGGCAGCUGGUAGCCUAGCGGUAAGAGUGUUGUAACCCGUAUGGCAGCAGGUAGCCUAGCGGUAAGAGUGUUGUAACCCGUAUGGCAGCAGGUAGCCUAGCGGUAAGACACACAUAAGCAUAAGCUACAGUAUUGUCUGAUCCUAGCCUUUCUUUCAGCUUCACAUGAUUCCUUUCAGAGGUACGCUGUCCAGUCCAUAUUCCUUUCAGAGGUACGCUGUACAGUCCAGUCCAGAUUCCUUUCAGAGGUACGCUGUACAGUCCAGUCCAGAUUCCUUUCAGAGGCACACUGUACAGUCCAGAUUCCUUUCAGAGGUACGCUGUACAGUCCAGUCCAGAUUCCUUUCAGAGGUACGCUGUACAGUCCAGUCCAGAUUCCUUUCAGAGGUACGCUGUACAGUAGAGAUUCCUUUCAGAGGUACGCUGUACAGUCCAGUCCAGAUUCCUUUCAGAGGUACGCUGUACUGUCUAGUCCAGAUUCCUUUCAGAGGUACGCUGUCCAGUCCAGAUUCCUUUCAGAGGUACGCUGUCCAGUCCAGAUUCCUUUCAGAGGUACGCUGUCCAGUCCAGUCCAGAUUCCUUUCAGAGGUACGCUGUACAGUCCAGUCCAGAUUCCUUUCAGAGGUACGCUGUCCAGUCCAGUCCAGAUUCCUUUCAGAGGUACGCUGUACAGUCCAGUCCAGAUUCCUUUCAGAGGUACGCUGUACAGUACAGAUUCCACCUGCGAUCUAUAUAUGGCGUGUCUCCUAUCCUACUGUACCUCUGUAACUGACAUCGGUGUGCUGCUAACAGCUUUGCUUCCUCCACUGUCCCUGUCCCCUUAUUAGGCUCGAACCAGUGGUCUUCUGAUCACAAACACACGUGACCACCCUCUUGGACAACUUACCAACCAGUGGUGCUGUAGAAAAGGAUCCGAAUUGGAUAGCACCAUUGGUAUCGUUUCAAGCUAGCUGUGAAGUGAGCUAAU